AGAAGUUGUUACCCUAUGUCUUAUGAUCACUCAAAAGUUUGAAUUAAAAUUUUUCAAGUUUUGCAGAAUUAAUUAUGGCAAAUUAACUGGCCUGGACUCAGGUACCCUGUGUCUGCAGGAUUCCGGGUUCAGGUUAGUGGCUUUGACUCCCAUUUUAGAGUUCUUACACUUUAAAUUUGAGGCACAUUUCUGAAUCAAAGUUAGAGCCCUAUUUCUUAGGUUUCCAGAAUAGUAUGGCUUGUCCCAAUUGGAGUUUCCUAGUAGGAGAUAUGACCAAAAGACUGUUCUGGGAUCAAGUGGUCACUUAGGCAAUUCCUAGAAUUUACAUGCUAGCUUGACCUAAUCAAUUGACCUAGUUUCCUUGAUUUCUGGAUUUUGGUCAAAACAUCAAUGUUGUAAUGACCAAAAUGCCCCAUGGUUACUAGGAAGAAAAAUGGUGGAAUAAAAUAGCUCCCAUGGUUCGGCCAAGAUGAGAAAAUUGAAGAAGAUGGUCUCUUUUUGGCUAUUUAAGUUAGUUUGUCUCAUUUAUAUAUGCUUGUCCAAUUUUAAUUGGGUAGAACUUUUAAUGAUGUCAUUUUGACAUCAUGCUCAUGUAAUAAUUCAUUUAUAUUUUGAUUUUCUUUCUUUUCUUUUCUUUUCCCUUU
rnacentral:misc_RNA from 1 species